rnacentral:tRNA from 1 species
GGUAGGAUAGCAAUAUGGGUGAAAGUCUGGCCUCUAAACUCAGUGUGCGUGGGUUCAACCCCCACCUCUACCA